AAACCGUGUACGUACAAGCAGUGGGAGCACGCUUAGGCGUGUGACUGCGUACCUUUUGUAUAAUGGGUCAGCGACUUAUAUUCUGUAGCAAGGUUAACCGAAUAGGGGAGCCGAAGGGAAACCGAGUCUUAACUGGGCGUUAAGUUGCAGGGUAUAGACCCGAAACCCGGUGAUCUAGCCAUGGGCAGGUUGAAGGUUGGGUAACACUAACUGGAGGACCGAACCGACUAAUGUUGAAAAAUUAGCGGAUGACUUGUGGCUGGGGGUGAAAGGCCAAUCAAACCGGGAGAUAGCUGGUUCUCCCCGAAAGCUAUUUAGGUAGCGCCUCGUGAAUUCAUCUCCGGGGGUAGAGCACUGUUUCGGCAAGGGGGUCAUCCCGACUUACCAACCCGAUGCAAACUGCGAAUACCGGAGAAUGUUAUCACGGGAGACACACGGCGGGUGCUAACGUCCGUCGUGAAGAGGGAAACAACCCAGACCGCCAGCUAAGGUCCCAAAGUCAUGGUUAAGUGGGAAACGAUGUGGGAAGGCCCAGACAGCCAGGAUGUUGGCUUAGAAGCAGCCAUCAUUUAAAGAAAGCGUAAUAGCUCACUGGUCGAGUCGGCCUGCGCGGAAGAUGUAACGGGGCUAAACCAUGCACCGAAGCUGCGGCAGCGACGCUGAUGCGUUGUUGGGUAGGGGAGCGUUCUGUAAGCCUGCGAAGGUGUGCUGUGAGGCAUGCUGGAGGUAUCAGAAGUGCGAAUGCUGACAUAAGUAACGAUAAAGCGGGUGAAAAGCCCGCUCGCCGGAAGACCAAGGGUUCCUGUCCAACGUUAAUCGGGGCAGGGUGAGUCGACCCCUAAGGCGAGGCCGAAAGGCGUAGUCGAUGGGAAACAGGUUAAUAUUCCUGUACU
rnacentral:rRNA from 1 species